ACCUCCUGGAAAGAGAGCGGCCGGAUUUGGGGCGAUUCGGAGGAGCUGGACCGGACUCCAAGCCUGCGUCCAAAAGCUGGUGGACGAGAAGCUCAAGCUUGUCAACAUAGUCCAGGUCAUGCUCAUCCGCCAGAUUCUCCCGUGCCAAUGACGGGGCUUCAAUAUGUGGGAGUUCGAUCCGGCGCAGCACCAGACUUUGAAUGGGCUCUUCGACACUACGUACGAAGAGGUCUGGAAGGUGUUGUUCAAGGGCGCCGAGGCUCCCGCAUCCGCUACCAAAGAUCGCGGAUUCAGCUCGCAGCGUCCAGCUGA
rnacentral:rRNA from 1 species